GACCAAAUCAUAAACUAUGACGAUAAAAGAUAAUACAUUAAUAGUUUAUUCAUGUAUUUCUUCUAUAGACUCUUAAGCUACUAAUAGUUUUCUCAGGGUGCUAUCGAAUUCAUAAACAUGAAGGCAUUUAAGCCUAAUUGAAUAAUAAAGUAAAUUAAAAAGAGAGUGGAAUGUACGGUUGGAGUCAAUUUUGUUAAACCAGUUAAAUAAUAUAAAAGGCAACACUGAGGCAUUGUGACUUGUCAAAAAUGGCAAAUCUUGCAUUGCUAGAGGAUCUGGCACAAGCUGCAUUACGCAGGGAGCGUGUUUUCAAUGAGCGUGCAGAUUUUUUGCUGAGAGCGACACUUGGCUUAUUAGUAGAUUUCGUUUUCCAAGGCAUAUUUUAUUGUAUCUCUGCAACCAACUCUCCAGUAUUAGAAAGGGAGACGAAUCGCACCAAUGCCAUCCCAGUGCAUACCCAAGUCCUCUCCACCCUGGGAUUUUUGGCCACUGGAACAUUCCAAAGGGAGAUUGCGGAUCAGUCUGGCAUUUCACAACCAACCAUGAGCCGAAUAUUGCCUGCAGUCCUUCGUGGCAUUAUUUAAUCGACCCCCACAAUACAUACAGUUUCCGUACACUGCUGUGCAACAGGCCAGAGUGAAAAGGGAUUUCCAUACCAUAAAUGGAUUUCCCAAUGUCAUUGGAGCAAUUGACUGCACCCACAUCUCAAUAAAAGCACCAUCAUUGAACGAAUUCAACUUUGUCAACAGAAAAUGUUUCCAUUCUGUCAAUGUGCAGGUCAUCUGUGAAUCACAUUUGGAUUUGUUGAAUUUAGUGGACAAAUGGCCAGGUUGGACACAUGAAUAAUUCAUUGUGCAGAACAGUUCAGUAGGCCUUAGCCUCCAGGAAGGAGCUGUUGAGGAUGGACGGCUUAUUGGAGCUACCCAUUAAAAACAUGGCUGAUGACUACCCUCACAAACCCCUCAAACCAGCUAGUGGCCCACGCAUGCACAAGAACAAUAGUGGAGUGCACCAUAGGCCUGCUGAAAGGGCAUUGGCUGUGCUUGUCUGGGACAGGAGGCACACUGCAAUACCAGCCGAGCAAGGUUUGCCUCUGAAAUGACAUUCCUUCAAAUGCCAUUACGUGAAUGUAAUAAAAUGUACAAUUUCCUUUUUAGGGUUGCUACAUUGUCAAGGCUUGCAGUGUGCUCCACAACAUUGCAAUCAAAAACAGCAUUCCACUGAAUGAUCCACCCAGACCCGAUGAGCCCAUGCCUGACAGGGAGUGUUUCCCACCACCCAUAGCUCUGGCACUGAGGACAAUAGUCAAUAUCGGUUUAGGACUGCGUCAGUCCUGAAGCGCUCGCCAAAGAGGACACCGUUCUGGUAGGCCUGGGGAUGAGGGGAUCAGGCAAAUCACCCACAUCUGUCAAGAUUUCAUGUCUGAAUAUGGUUGCGAAAAUAAAGCUUGACUUAUCAUUAGUUGGUGUAUCUGGUAUUCCUUCAGGGUCUGGGAGAGGG